rnacentral:rRNA from 1 species
CACGUAUUUAGCCGGAGCUUCUUAGUCAGGUACCGUCACUUUCUUCCCUGCUGAUAGGGCUUUACAUACCGAAAUACUUCUUCACCCACGCGGCGUUGCUGCAUCAGGGUUCCCCCCAUUGUGCAAUAUUCCCCACUGCUGCCCCCCGUAGGAGUCUGGGCCGUGUCUCAGUCCCAAUGUGGCCGUCCACUCUCUCAAGCCGGCUACUGAUCGCUGCCUUGGUGGGCCGUUACCCGCAACUAGCUAAUCAGACGCGGGCCCAUCCUGUACCACCGGAGUUUUCCCCGCAGCGCCAUGCGGCACCGCGGGCUUAUGCGGUAUUAGCAGCCGUUUCCGGCUGUUCGUCCCCCUGUACAGGGCACGGUUACCCACGCCGUUACUCACCCGUCCGCCACUAGGCUGUAUGCUCGCUUCCGCCCGAAACGCUCCGCUCGCACUACCACCCCGUUCGACUUGCAUGUGUUAGGCACGCCGCCA